UACGAAGGGGGCGAGCGUUGUUCGGAAUUACUGGGCGUAAAGGGCGCGCAGGCGGCCCUUGAAGUCAGGCGUGAAAGCCCCCGGCUCAACCGGGGAGGGCCAUUGGAAACUGGGAGGCUUGAGUAUAGGAGAGAAGAGUGGAAUUCCACGUGUAGCGGUGAAAUGCGUAGAGAUGUGGAGGAACACCAGUGGCGAAGGCGACUCUUUGGCCUAUAACUGACGCUGAGGCGCGAAAGCGUGGGGAGCAAACAGG
rnacentral:rRNA from 1 species